rnacentral:rRNA from 1 species
UGGGGAAUAUUGCACAAUGGGCGCAAGCCUGAUGCAGCCAUGCCGCGUGUAUGAAGAAGGCCUUCGGGUUGUAAAGUACUUUCAGCGGGGAGGAAGGCGAUAAGGUUAAUAACCUUGUCGAUUGACGUUACCCGCAGAAGAAGCACCGGCUAACUCCGUGCCAGCAGCCGCGGUAAUACGGAGGGUGCAAGCGUUAAUCGGAAUUACUGGGCGUAAAGCGCACGCAGGCGGUCUGUCAAGUCGGAUGGGAAAUCCCCGGGCUCAACCUGGGAACUGCAAUCGAAACUGGCAGGGUAGAGUCUUGUAGAGGGGGGUAGAAUUCCAGGUGUAGCGGUGAAAUGCGUAGAGAUCUGGAGGAAUACCGGUGGCGAAGGCGGCCCCCUGGACAAAGACUGACGCUCAGGUGCGAAAGCGUGGGGAGCAAACA